CUCAGAGCGAACGUUAGCGGCGGGCCUAACACAUGCAAGUCGAACGCGAAAGGUCUUCGGACUGAUUGAGUGGCGCACGGGUGAGUAACACGUAGGUAAUCUACCCUUUGGCGGGGGAUAACGUUCCGAAAGGGACGCUAAUACCGCAUAAGACCACGACGUCUUUGGACGAUGUGGGAAAAGGUGGCCUCUUCUUGAAAGCUACCACCGGAGGAUGAGCCUGCGUCCCAUCAGCUAGUUGGUAAGGUAAUGGCUUACCAAGGCGAAGACGGGUAGCUGGUUUGAGAGAAUGAUCAGCCACACUGGCACUGGAACACGGGGCCAGACUCCUACGGGAGGCAGCAGUGAGGAAUAUUGGGGCAAUGGGGCGAAAGCCUGACCCAGCCACGCCGCGUGAGUGAUGAAGGCC
rnacentral:rRNA from 1 species